GCCGAAUCCACGACGCCACUCGAAUCUACGAGCCAACGAUCCGAAUCCAUGAACCGCCUUUGUUCACGCCAAAUCCACGACGCCGUUCAUGAAGAGCAUCAUGAUUAUGGUGAUUCUUCGCUUAGGAGUAUCGUAGAAAAUCAGGGAAUAGAACUCCAAGCGAAGACUAGAUCAAAUCGACAUAUAGCGAAUGCGAAACGUUAUCUCGAUUUGAUCUAAAGAGGCUAAUUUGUAGAAAAUAGGUUUAGAAUGAAAUCCGAGCCUCUAGGGUUUCUCAAACAUGUAUUCUUAUGAUGCUUAAACAGUUAGAGAACCC
rnacentral:lncRNA from 1 species